rnacentral:rRNA from 1 species
GACUGACCUCUGGUCUGCCGGUUGUGCCGCCAGGUGCAUUGCCGGGUAUCCAAGUCGGGAUCGGAUAAGUGCUGAAAGCAUCUAAGCACGAAGCCGGCCACAAGAUUAGAUUUCCUCGAGGGCCGUCGCAGACGACGACGUCGAUAGGAUGCAGGUGUAAAGGCGGCGACGCCAAAGCCGAGCAUUACUAAUUGCCCGAACCUUUUUUGCAG